rnacentral:rRNA from 1 species
AUUGAACGCUGGCGGCAUGCUUUACACAUGCAAGUCGAACGGUAACAGGGAGCUUGCUCCGCUGACGAGUGGCGAACGGGUGAGUAAUGCAUCGGAACGUACCCAGUCGUGGGGGAUAACGUAGCGAAAGUUACGCUAAUACCGCAUACGUCCUGAGGGAGAAAGCGGGGGACCGUAAGGCCUCGCGCGAUUGGAGCGGCCGAUGUCGGAUUAGCUAGUUGGUAGGGUAAAGGCCUACCAAGGCGACGAUCCGUAGCGGGUCUGAGAGGAUGAUCCGCCACACUGGGACUGAGACACGGCCCAGACUCCUACGGGAGGCAGCAGUGGGGAAUUUUGGACAAUGGGCGAAAGCCUGAUCCAGCCAUGCCGCGUGAGUGAAGAAGGCCUGGUGUAAAGCUCUUUCAGGUGG